UCGUUAGUUUUCCGUCUUUAUCCAUUCCGAUGCAUGCCCGCGGGCACCGGCCUUCUUCCCAUGCCUGAUCCACUACUCGCCACUCCCCGGAAUCCAGGUCAUAAACUUCGGCGCUGGCGUCGAACAUCCCCUGUCGCUCGGUGUCGUAGCCGCUAACAACCCAGAAUUCACGGCCGACCAUCAGACCUUCACACUCGUCCCUCCCCUGACUCAUUUGGGGCAACUCAGUCCACUCGUCGGUUCUCAGAUCGUAAACCCAUGCCGAUUUCAAGGCGUUUUUGCUCUCGUCGUGGCCACCGGAGAUGUAGACUCUUCCAUCGGAAGCACCAAUUGCAAAAAAGGAUCGCUUAGAUGGCAUAUCUUUCCCCUUCCUCCAGGCACCUUGGGUGAAAUCGUAAACAAAAACAUCAAUAAUCGGGUCGUAAGUUGCUGGAUCCCAGCCGCCCAUGAGCACCAGUUUUCCUUCGGUACUAGCUAUGUGACAGAACAGAGGAAGACCAUCUGGGUAUUGUGGAAUCGAAGGGAU
rnacentral:lncRNA from 1 species